GGAGAGAUGGCAGAGUGGUCGAUCGCGCUGCAUUGGAAAUGCAGUGUACCGCAAGGUACCGAGGGUUCGAAUCCCUCUCUCUCCGCCA
rnacentral:tRNA from 1 species